AAUGAACGCAAGCAGUUGGUUUUAUACAUGCAAGUUAAAUGUUUGAAUAUUAGAAAUAAAAUAAAACAUAGCGCACGGGUGAGUACAAAAGAGGUGACAUACUUAACAAAUGGGGAUAAUAAUUAAUACCCAAUAAUAUAAGGAAAAUCUAUUUAUAGUGAUACAAAAAAUUAAUAAAUAGAUGAAAUCUUAUAGAAAGAGAAAAUCGUUGUUAAACUGGCUUCUUCAAGAUUAGGUAGUUGGUGGUAAAAAAGACUCCCAAGCCAAAGAUCUUUAACUGAUUUUAACGGAUGAUCAGUCACAAGGGGAUUGAAAGAAGGCCCUUAUACGUUAAGUAGCAGCAGUAGAGAAUCUUAGACAAUGGACGAAAGUCUGAUCUAGCCAAACUGCGUGAAGUCAAUGAGAGUUGAUUUCUUUCGUUAGUGAAGAUAAUGACUGUAACUAAAAAAGAAGCUCCGGCUAAUCUCGUGCCAGCCGCCGCAGU
rnacentral:rRNA from 1 species